rnacentral:rRNA from 1 species
GCCUGUUCUAGAACCGAUAACCCCCGUUCAACCUCACCCUUCCUUGUUUAACCCGCCUAUAUACCGCCGUCGUCAGCUUACCCUGUGAAGGACUAAUAGUAAGCAAAACUGGUACAACCUAAAACGUCAGGUCGAGGUGUAGCGUAUGGAGGGGGAAGAAAUGGGCUACAUUCGCUACUACAGCGAACACGAAUGAUGUACUGAAACGUAAAUCUGAAGGAGGAUUUAGCAGUAAGCAGGAAAUAGAGCGUCCCGCUGAAACUGGCCCUGAAGCGCGCACACACCGCCCGUCACUCUCCCCAAAAACACCAAUCAAUUAACUAAAACCUAAUAAUCAAAAAGGGGAGGCAAGUCGUAACAUGGUAAGUGUACCGGAAGGUGCGCUUGGAAAA